CCCUUAGAUGUUCUGGGCCGCACGCGCGCUACACUGAUGCAUUCAACGAGUCUAAAACCUGCUCUGAUAGGGGUGGGUAAUCUUUUGAAUGUGCAUCGUGAUUGGGAUAGAUGAUUGCAAUUUUUCAUCUUCAACGAGGAAUGCCUAGUAAACGCAAGUCAUCAGCUUGCAUUGAUUACGUCCCUGCCCUUUGUACACACCGCCCGUCGCUCCUACCGAUUGAAUGAUCCGAUGAAUAUCAUGGAUUGAGGAUUAUAGCAGGUUCGCCUGUCUUGAUCUUCGAGAAGUGAAGUAAAUCUUAUCAUUUAGAGGAAGGAGAAGCCGUAACA
rnacentral:rRNA from 1 species